rnacentral:lncRNA from 1 species
GUCUGGGCAAGGGGCAGUUGGUGAACUUGCUGCCUCCAGAGAACCUUCCCUGGUGUGGAGGCAGCCAGGGACCCAGGAUGCUCCGGACCUGUUACGUGCUCUGUUCCCAAGCUGGUCCCCCCUCCAGGGGCUGGCAGUCCCUGAGCUUUGAUGGCGGGGCCUUCCACCUUAAGGGCACAGGAGAGCUGACACGGGCCUUGCUGGUUCUCCGGCUGUGUGCCUGGCCCCCACUCGUCACUCACGGGCUGUUGCUCCAGGCCUGGUCUCGGCGACUCCUGGGCUCCCGGCUCUCAGGCGCAUUUCUCCGAGCAUCCGUCUAUGGGCAGUUUGUGGCUGGUGAGACAGCAGAGGAGGUGAAGGGCUGCGUGCAGCAGCUGCGGACCCUCAGCCUCCGACCACUGCUGGCAGUGCCCACUGAGGAGGAGCCGGACUCUGCUGCCAAGAGUGGGUGAGUAGGGAGCCAGGGCCCAGGGAGGCUGGGAGGACGCAGGAAGGGGCUUUGCUGUUCGGGCCCUGACACCUGCUGGCUGGGCAGUGAGGCGUGGUAUGAGGGGAACCUCGGUGCUAUGCUGCGGUGUGUGGACCUGUCACGGGGCCUCCUGGAGCCCCCCAGCCUGGCUGAGGCCAGCCUCAUGCAGCUGAAGGUGACGGCGCUGACCAGUACUCGGCUCUGUAAGGAGCUAGCCUCGUGGGUCAGAAGGCCAGGAGCCUCCUUGGAGCUGAGCCCC